rnacentral:misc_RNA from 1 species
ACACAAGUUUAAAUGAAUGUAACCAAACCUUUAAUUUAUAAA